GUGACACAACCAAAAAAAAAAAAAAAAAAAAAGAUAUUUAUGGAAUUCCAGUGAGUGGUAAUGGAUGAUGCAGUUCAAAUAACUAAGGACACAUGUUCAAAGAGCAUAAUUAACUUUUUAAAAGAAGCUAGUAAUUCUGACUCGAAGGACAGAAGAGAUGAGACACCAAUUAUUGCGGUGAUGGUGGCCCUGUCCUCUCUGCUAGUGAUCGUGUUUAUUAUCAUAGUUUUGUACAUGUUAAGGUGAGCCUACUAACACUUCACGUUCUCUUAGAUUCUGUUUCAAUACCCCAGUGUCCCAGUGAACCCACACAGUCCAGUAGACAGUAGGAUAUACACAAUGAAUAGGAUAGAGGGGGAAUGGCACAUGAUAGUGCUAAAAUUGAAGUUCUACUUAGAAAUGAUUUAAAAGCUCUACGUAGUCUUCCUUAAGUCCUAAACCCUCCCUCUUUCUUCCAUCUGUCCAAGUCCAGUCCCCCAAUUCCAGUGCAAGCUAAAACCCAGAAUGGUAGUUUGGAGGCUGAAGUAAGAAACUACAGUUUGUUAUUAGGGACAGGUGUUACAGGAUCUUUAGGUCUAGCCCUGUUGAAGCAACCCCUAAAAGGGCCCCAGUAAGAUUACAUGCUCAACAAAAGCCUACUUUAUUUCUAGUUGGGGGUUUGUCCCCAAACCCUUCUGGGACCCCUGGCCCUGGCAUGCUGAGCUGAGCCAUGUGAGUUGUGAGUUACAGGAUCCCUCUUUCUAACCUUCUUUCAGGAUCCUCUAGACAUUACCACUCAAGCAGAAACAAGGAAGGGGAAUCCAAGGGAGAGAAGAGAGUGGUGCAUUUAUCUCUUCCUGCUAAAGCUACUGCCCUGACUAAUUGGGUUUAGCCUUGCCUUAUCUUUGGCCUAACCUAUUCUGUGCUCCCUCUGUUCUUCUGCAGGGAUAAAGAGAGGGGAAUCGUGUGCCCCCUAUAAUUUGUCAUAUGUCUCCAUCAUUCUGCAGGAGACUUGUGGCCAGAACUGUGUCCACCCAGUCCAAAGCUCUGGGC
rnacentral:lncRNA from 1 species